rnacentral:rRNA from 2 species
UGGGGAAUCUUAGACAAUGGGGGAAACCCUGAUCUAGCCAUGCCGCGUGAUCGAUGAAGGCCUUAGGGUUGUAAAGAUCUUUCAGUGGGGAAGAUAAUGACUGUACCCACAGAAGAAGCCCCGGCUAACUCCGUGCCAGCAGCCGCGGUAAUACGGAGGGGGCUAGCGUUGUUCGGAAUUACUGGGCGUAAAGCGCACGUAGGCGGAACAGAAAGUCAGAGGUGAAAUCCCAGGGCUCAACCUUGGAACUGCCUUUGAAACUCCUGUUCUUGAGGUCGAGAGAGGUGAGUGGAAUUCCGAGUGUAGAGGUGAAAUUCGUAGAUAUUCGGAGGAACACCAGUGGCGAAGGCGGCUCACUGGCUCGAUACUGACGCUGAGGUGCGAAAGCGUGGGGAGCAAACAGG